GGGCCCGCACAAGCGGUGGAGCAUGUGGUUUAAUUCGAUGCAACGCGAAGAACCUUACCAGGGGCUUGACAUACUACAGAUCCCUUUGAGAAAAGGGAGUGCCUUCGGGAAUGUAGAUACAGGUGGUGCAUGGCUGUCGUCAGCUCGUGUCGUGAGAUGUUGGGUUAAGUCCCGCAACGAGCGCAACCCCCUGUUUUAGUUGCCAGCAAGUAAUGUUGGGGACUCUAGAAAGACUGCCUGCGUAAGCAGAGAGGAAGGAGGGACGACGGUCAAAUCAGCAUGGCCCUUAUGCCUAGGGCUACACACGUGCUACAAUGGCGUAUACAAAGGGUAGCGAACCAGUGAUGGUAAGC
rnacentral:rRNA from 1 species